rnacentral:lncRNA from 1 species
GGUGAUACAGCCCGACAGGAUGCUCUCGAUUGUGCAUCUGUAAAAGUUUGUGAGUGUUUUAGGUGACAAGCCAAAUUUCUCAGCCUCCUUAGGUUGAAGAGGUGCUGUUACGCCAUUCUUCACCAAAAAAAAGAUUUAAAAAAAGAAAAAGAUAUAGAUGUACUAUUGUAAAGUGGUUGUUCCACUGGAUAUCAUAAGGUGAAUGCACCAAUUUGUAAGUCGCUCUGGAUAAGAGCGUCUGCUAAAUGAUGUAAAUGUAAAUGUAAAUGUGUGUGAGUGCGUUUGUGUGUAUUGUGUGUGUGUGUGUGUGUGUGUGUGUGUGUGUGUGUGUGUGUGUGUGUGUGUGUGUGUGUGUGUGUGUGUGUGUGUGUGUGUGAGUGCGUGUUCCAGUGUCAGUGUGUAGGUCCUUUAAAGCUACCUGACUUUCCCGAGUCUCCACACAGGUAGAGAUAUGUCUAUAGGUGUAGAUACGUCUAUAGGUGUAGAUGUGUCUAUAGGUGUAGAUGUGUCUAUAGGUGUAGAUGUGUCUAUAGGUGUAGAUACGUCUAUAGGUGUAGAUGUGUCUAUAGGUGUAGAUACGUCUACAGGUGUAGAUACGUCUAUAGGUGGAGAUACGUCUAUAGGUGUAGAUGUGUCUAUAGGUGUAGAUGUGUCUAUAGGUGUAGAUGUGUCUAUAGGUGUAGAUGUGUCUAUAGGUGUAGAUAUGUCUAUAGGUGUAGAUAUGUCUAUAGGUGUAGAUGUGUCUAUAGGUGUAGAUAUGUCUAUAGGUGUAGAUAUGUCUAUAGGUGUAGAUACGUCUAUAGGUGGAGAUACGUCUAUAGGUGUAGAUACGUCUAUAGGUGUAGAUGUGGUGUGUGUAAUCAGAUGGUUGAGAGAGUGCAUAUGUAAUGUAAGUUACUACAGAAUGGACAAUAUUAUGUCUGCAAAACAGGGUUGAAAUGUCUCAAAAUAAAUCAAAUCAAAAUAGAUUUCUUGCCCUUUGUGCUGUUGUCUGUGCC